CAAGAACCUUCUUAAUCGAGCAAUUGAGAUCCAGAAAAACACAAUGACCUCGUCUUUCUUCUCAUCAAUGAACUGGAAAUAAGCAAUCCUCCAUGACUUCUUCACUACUAGAGUUCCGCAGACCACCCAAAACCCUACAGGAAAUCCUAUUCCUAUUCCUAUGCCUAUGUAGAACCACAACAUUUCAAUACUUUCUUCUUCUUCAUCUUUGUUUUCCUCAGGAGAGAGAGGCUCCUCAGUUGAUGUUUCAUAUUUGUCAUCUCCUUUGCACUUGGUGGGCAGUGGCGGACCACAAAGUAAUGGGUUACCUUCGUAUAUGGAAGGAUCAUUGAAGGUCUCAAACUGGUUAGUUUUUGGGAUUUGACCAGAAAGAUUGUUAUAUGAGAUGUUCAAGUGAUUCAGAAAAGUGAUGGAGG
rnacentral:misc_RNA from 1 species